rnacentral:rRNA from 1 species
GAUGAACGCUGGCGGCGUGCCUAAUACAUGCAAGUCGAGCGAACAGAUGAGGAGCUUGCUCCUCUGACGUUAGCGGCGGACGGGUGAGUAACACGUGGAUAACCUACCCAUAAGACUGGGAUAACUUCGGGAAACCGGAGCUAAUACCGGAUAAUAUAUUGAACCGCAUGGUUCAAUAGUGAAAGACGGUUUUGCUGUCACUUAUAGAUGGAUCCGCGCCGCAUUAGCUAGUUGGUAAGGUAACGGCUUACCAAGGCAACGAUGCGUAGCCGACCUGAGAGGGUGAUCGGCCACACUGGAACUGAGACACGGUCCAGACUCCUACGGGAGGCAGCAGUAGGGAAUCUUCCGCAAUGGGCGAAAGCCUGACGGAGCAACGCCGCGUGAGUGAUGAAGGUCUUCGGAUCGUAAAACGCUGUUAUUAGGGAAGAACAAAUGUGUAAGUAGCUAUGCACGUCUUGACGGUACCUAAUCAGAAAGCCACGGCUAACUACGU